rnacentral:rRNA from 1 species
UACGUAGGGUGCGAGCGUUGUCCGGAAUUAUUGGGCGUAAAGGGCUCGUAGGCGGUCUGUUGCGUCGGGAGUGAAAACUCAGGGCUUAACCCUGAGCCUGCUUCCGAUACGGGCAGACUAGAGGUAUGCAGGGGAGAACGGAAUUCCUGGUGGUAGCGGUGAAAUGCGCAGGAUAUCAGGAGGAACACCGGUGGCGAAGGCGGUUCUCUGGGCAUUACCUGACGCUGAGGAGCGAAAGUGUGGGGAGCGAACAGG